rnacentral:rRNA from 1 species
CGCGUAGGCGGUUUGCUCAGUCAGAUGUGAAAGCCCUCGGCUUAACCGGGGACGUGCAUUUGAAACUGGCAGACUUGAGUAUUGGAGGGGGUGGUGGAAUUCCCGGUGUAGAGGUGAAAUUCGUAGAUAUCGGGAGGAAUACCGGUGGCGAAGGCGACCACCUGGCCAAAUACUGACGCUGAGGUGCGAAAGCGUGGGGAGCAAACA